rnacentral:rRNA from 1 species
CUUGGUCAUUUAGAGGAAGUAAAAGUCGUAACAAGGUUUCCGUAGGUGAACCUGCGGAAGGAUCAUUACAUUCAGUAGCCCAGCUACUUGUUUACACCCUUGUUUUUUUGCGUACCUAUCGUUUCCUCGGCGGGCUUGCCUGCCGGUUGGACAACUUUAUAACCUUUUUAAAUCUUCAAUCAGCGUCUGAACAAUAUACAAUAAUUACAACUUUCAACAACGGAUCUCUUGGUUCUGGCAUCGAUGAAGAACGCAGCGAAAUGCGAUAAGUAGUGUGAAUUGCAGAAUUCAGUGAAUCAUCGAAUCUUUGAACGCACAUUGCGCCCCUUGGUAUUCCAUGGGGCAUGCCUGUUCGAGCGUCAUUUGUACCUUCAAGCUUUGCUUGGUGUUGGGUGCUUGUCUUUUUGUUAAGACUCACCUCAAAGUCAUUGGCAGCCAGUGUUUUGGUAGUAAGCGCAGCACAUUUUGCGUCUUGGUCCCUCAACAGCGGCAUCCAUCAAGCCAUUUUCUCACUUUUGACCUCGGAUCAGGUAGGGAUACCCGCUGAACUUAAGCAUAUCAAUAAGCGGAGGA